rnacentral:rRNA from 2 species
UGGGGAAUAUUGCACAAUGGGCGAAAGCCUGAUGCAGCAACGCCGCGUGAGCGAUGAAGGCCUUUGGGUCGUAAAGCUCUGUCCUUGGGGAAGAAACAAAUGACGGUACCCUUGGAGGAAGCCCCGGCUAACUACGUGCCAGCAGCCGCGGUAAUACGUAGGGGGCGAGCGUUAUCCGGAAUUAUUGGGCGUAAAGAGUGCGUAGGUGGCCAUGUAAGCGCGGGGUGAAAGGCAAUAGCUUAACUAUUGUAAGCCUUGCGAACUGUGUGGCUUGAGUGCAGGAGAGGAAAGUGGAAUUCCUAGUGUAGCGGUGAAAUGCGUAGAUAUUAGGAGGAACACCAGUGGCGAAGGCGACUUUCUGGACUGUAACUGACACUGAGGCACGAAAGCGUGGGGAGCAAACAGG